rnacentral:rRNA from 1 species
GCAAGUCGAACGAACUCUGGUAUUGAUUGGUGCUUGCAUCAUGAUUUACAUUUGAGUGAGUGGCGAACUGGUGAGUAACACGUGGGAAACCUGCCCAGAAGCGGGGGAUAACACCUGGAAACAGAUGCUAAUACCGCAUAACAACUUGGACCGCAUGGUCCGAGCUUGAAAGAUGGCUUCGGCUAUCACUUUUGGAUGGUCCCGCGGCGUAUUAGCUAGAUGGUGGGGUAACGGCUCACCAUGGCAAUGAUACGUAGCCGACCUGAGAGGGUAAUCGGCCACAUUGGGACUGAGACACGGCCCAAACUCCUACGGGAGGCAGCAGUAGGGAAUCUUCCACAAUGGACGAAAGUCUGAUGGAGCAACGCCGCGUGAGUGAAGAAGGGUUUCGGCUCGUAAAACUCUGUUGUUAAAGAAGAACAUAUCUGAGAGUAACUGUUCAGGUAUUGACGGUAUUUAACCAGAAAGCCACGGCUAACUACGUGCCAGCAGCCGCGGUAAUACGUAGGUGGCAAGCGUUGUCCGGAUUUAUUGGGCGUAAAGCGAGCGCAGGCGGUUUUUUAAGUCUGAUGUGAAAGCCUUCGGCUCAACCGAAGAAGUGCAUCGGAAACUGGGAAACUUGAGUGCAGAAGAGGACAGUGGAACUCCAUGUGUAGCGGUGAAAUGCGUAGAUAUAUGGAAGAACACCAGUGGCGAAGGCGGCUGUCUGGUCUGUAACUGACGCUGAGGCUCGAAAGUAUGGGUAGCAAACAGGAUUAGAUACCCUGGUAGUCCAUACCGUAAACGAUGAAUGCUAAGUGUUGGAGGGUUUCCGCCCUUCAGUGCUGCAGCUAACGCAUUAAGCAUUCCGCCUGGGGAGUACGGCCGCAAGGCUGAAACUCAAAGGAAUUGACGGGGGCCCGCACAAGCGGUGGAGCAUGUGGUUUAAUUCGAAGCUACGCGAAGAACCUUACCAGGUCUUGACAUACUAUGCAAAUCUAAGAGAUUAGACGUUCCCUUCGGGGACAUGGAUACAGGUGGUGCAUGGUUGUCGUCAGCUCGUGUCGUGAGAUGUUGGGUUAAGUCCCGCAACGAGCGCAACCCUUAUUAUCAGUUGCCAGCAUUAAGUUGGGCACUCUGGUGAGACUGCCGGUGACAAACCGGAGGAAGGUGGGGAUGACGUCAAAUCAUCAUGCCCCUUAUGACCUGGGCUACACACGUGCUACAAUGGAUGGUACAACGAGUUGCGAACUCGCGAGAGUAAGCUAAUCUCUUAAAGCCAUUCUCAGUUCGGAUUGUAGGCUGCAACUCGCCUACAUGAAGUCGGAAUCGCUAGUAAUCGCGGAUCAGCAUGCCGCGGUGAAUACGUUCCCGGGCCUUGUACACACCGCCCGUCACACCAUGAGAGUUUGUAACACCCAAAGUCGGUGGGGUAACCUUUUAGGAACCAGCCGCCU